GUGCCUUUAUCAGCAAAGCGUUGCUAACGAACCGUGGAUUUGCUCUUUAUUUAAAACUCGCGUAAUCGAGAAAAACGAGAACCACGAAAGGCUUCCUGUUCGCGUUACAAAGGUCGAAGGUACAGUCCCCGCCGUUUUCCGGUUUGCUGUGACAUUUUACGCAACCUGUUCGUCAAAUGCGAUCGGGACGGGUCAUCGUGUAACUCGAAUCGCCUACUCGAUUAACCAGUCCAUUUAAAGAACAAAGUGGUUAACGGUUUGCACCAGCAGGCAUGAAAAAAUGCAGCUCGUUCUUAACGAGGAGGCUGUCUUUACUUAGUCUUGGACGCUGGCCUGGCGAUCGUUAAGAAGGUGGCUGCAGACUCGAACAGCGCGGCUCGAGUGAAAGUCUUACAAUUAGAUGAGGCGUUGAAGAAAUCUAAGAAGCGUCCGACUUGGUCAAAAUUCGAAGUAAAUGUUCAUCCAUGGGCAUAAAAAUUGAAGUCACGUUCGAUGAAUGCAAAUGGAACCUCAACGGGGUACCACGUACAGAUAUGACAUCGACUUUUACGACCUACUGCCGAAAGGAAAUUUACGCAUAGAAAGCAAGUUCAGCCCGAUUUCGUUUGAAACCCAUCGCUAUGAAAAGUAUGCUUUGCGGAAAUAAUCUGGCGCGAUGUUCUGCGUGUACAGAAGUAAAAAGUAUCGAGAGUCCGCAGGUAUCGAUGAUGUAAGAAUCGCACUCAAGCGUGCACGGAAUUCGAUGUCUUGUUUCUUCUGAAGCUCCUUCGAAGUUCUACUAACCGUGAGAGAACACGUAAUUAAACAAUUGCAGGUCUACUCAAAACUUGCGGUGAGUAAAUUUCGGUCGCAAUAAGCUUUGUGAAUGAAGUCGAUCUCGUUCGAUUUCUGUGUUGUAUAAGAAUGAUGUCACGUUGGAACUAAGUUACCAUUGACAAGCGCGAACGAAGCGAGGAAGAAAGAAAAAUGAAAUUCACGUUCACGGGGAAACUUUCGGUUUCUUUUCUUCGAUUUCUUGACUCAUCAGAAGUGUGAAUCGUCGCUCUUUCCCCCGUCGCAUUCAACGCACUGCUUAGCGUGUAAUUUAUUAAAAUUGCAUGGAAACAGAUCGCGAUGACUUUCUUUCUCGCAGAGACGGCUAUCGAAGGUCAUUGUUUUCACCUGACGGAAGCCGCGAAACGGUCCCUUCCGAUUGAUGCGAUCGACAAGAUCGAAUGUCUCGCUUUCUUCGCCGUUUCCACCCCGUUCAAACUUUUUAUCGCGAUUUGCCUCUUAGUUGUCUAAUCGUGUGAAGUUUCGGACGGUUGUUGUCGACCUGUAAAGAUUUAUAACGAUAUCAGUGGCUACUGUUGACAACUGUUUAGGUAUACGUUCGAUUGCCUUUUAAGCACACGAAAUUCUCGGUGUGAUCGAACCUCGGAAAACAGAUAUCGCAGAAUAGACUUAAAUUCUUGCAAACCGCAAACCGGUUUCUGCUAGCUGCAAAUGAAUUUAGACCGUGAAGUCGAAGCACGAAAUAUGUUUCCAGUAUAAAACCGAUACCGGUAGAGCACACUGUAUCAGGUCCCGUAGAAAGUUCCUGCCUUCUAUAACAGGGGACAAUAAACUAAUAUAUGUAUAUUAUUUAAUAUGUAUAUAUUUUUUUUAUUUGUCGACAAUGUUCUAACGUAUCUAGAACAAGGAACCGUAACUUAUUAUACUUCGAAAGGGCUUAAUAAUAAACGAACUAACCACAGAUAUUGUAUCUCUUAAAUAAAAAGAAUCGUAGAAGAAUCUUG